CUACGGGCUGCUCCAGUAAGGAAUAUUGCGCAAUGGAGGCAACUCUGACGCAGCCAUGCCGCGUGCAGGAAGAAGGCCUUAUGGGUCGUAAACUGCUUUUAUUUAGGAAUAAACCCCCGAACGUGUUCGGGGCUGAAGGUACUAAACGAAUAAGCACCGGCUAACUCCGGGCCAGCAGCCGCGGUAAUACGGAGGGUGCAAGCGUUAUCCGGAUUUAUUGGGUUUAAAGGGUGCGCAGGCGGGCUAUUAAGUCAGUGGUGAAAUCCCGGGGCUCAACUCCGGAACUGCCAUUGAUACUGAUAGUCUUGAGUUUGGUUGAAGUGGGCGGAAUGUAGCAUGUAGCGGUGAAAUGCAUAGAUAUGCUACAGAACACCAAUCGCGAAGGCAGCUCACUAAGCCAAAACUGACGCUCAUGCACGAAAGCGUGGGGAUCAAACAGGAUUAGAUACCCGCGUAGUC
rnacentral:rRNA from 1 species